CAGACGUGGGCUGUGUUUUUGAGGUGAUCUGCAGCUGCAGAAAUAAGCCUGGGCAAGGGUUUUGUGGGCUGCCCCAGCCUGCACGGCCUGUGCCCCAUCUGCUGUGCUCACAAGGCAGCCUGGGAGCGCCGGGGCGGCCGUGGGCUCCUUCCCUCCCGGCAGCUCUUGUUUACUCUUAAACAACCUUGAAGAAGAGACGCUGCUUUGUGUUCACAGAGCCGUGUGCCGAAACAAUUUCAUUUGAACACAUAUACAUAAAGAAGUAGCUGUGUAGAGCUCUGUACAUUAAAUGGCCUGAUGGUUCACCAGAGGAUGUCGAAGGGAGGGUCCUCGUGCGGAUGCAGCCAGUGAAGCUCGGAGCCGAGCAGAGUCUUGAGCUCGCUUGUGAACUCCACCAAGUCCAAGAGCUCUUUGCUCUCCGGGUUAAAAGCCUCAAGGUCCGUAGCACAAGAGAACAACUGGCUGAGGGAAGUCUGUUUGUAAAACUCUGCCUCCGUGAUGGUGACCACCUCCAGGUUGGGGAAGUUGCAGCGGAAGAUGCGAGAUGACAUUUUUAGCCUCUUCACCACGUCCGAGAGCAGAAGCCAGUUCCGUGGUCUGUGGAAGCCAAGGAGAAAGAGGCUCCAAUAACUGACAGUAACUCACAGGAUUCCUGACUCUUCCCCGCAAACCCUUCCCAAUCCCAUGCUCACAAUCCCUCUGAAAGCAAGGCUGUUGCCCAGGGAUCAGAAAUAACACAUGAGCAGGUGUGUAUUUAUUAAUUCAGAGUACAGCUACCUGCAGCUUUGGGAAGGGAAGAUCCAGGAUGCAGGGGCACUGGGACCUACAAAACCUGGGCUCCUCAGUGCCCAUGUGGGCCAGCAGCCACCCCAACUUAGACACCUAAAGGUUAGCCCACCUGAAUCCAACUUUCAUUUCACAAAUAAGGAGAUGGCUUAUAGUUACUGCUACAAAAUUUAGCACUCUUGACUUCUAGAGAUGCCAAUACUAAAUACAAGUCAACAGUAAGUUGGUUUUUUGUCAGAUAAACAACAUGGUUUUAAAAUUCAAUCUUUGUAUUUGUCCACUUCAGGGAAUUAAGCUAGAUCCAUCGCCCAUGUAACAAAAACAUAGUAAAACCCACACUCCUGCAUGAUCAGUAUUUAAAACUAGCUGUCAUCAAAAUUGGUGCAAAUGGUAAACAACAGUUGCUAACAAAUCUAAUUUAUAUCUUGAAUAUAAUAGAUAAUAAACUUCCCAGGUCUUUGCUUAUUAUUAAGUACCAUAGGAUUUUCCCUAAGAUACUUAUUUGUUUGUUCCAAUUCAGAGCUCUAAACAAGUUUUGCCACAAAAUCUAGAAAAGCAGUAAUGGUGUCAUUUUGUCAUUCACAAAAGCAUGUCCACUCAGCAGCAGAACAGAAAAACCCAUGGAAUAAAAUUAACACCGUACAAACAUCAUACCCAAAUUUAAGUGCUAGAAGCACUUCUAUUUUGGGAAGUUAUAAACAAGAUGCCUGUCUGGGAUGAGGAAAGGACUUUGUGUUCAAACAUCACUUGUCCUGCUCUGGAAUAUGGCAGUAAAAAGGCUGACAAACCAACUGUUUCCCCUCUCACCUCCUAUUAGUUUAUUUCCAAAAAACCACCAGCAGUUACAGCAUUGAUCUCUCAUUUAUGUGACAUAAAUACAAACACUUUUCCCUGCUGACACAAACU